AGUGAACGCUGGCGGUAGGCCUAACACAUGCAAGUCGAACGGCAGCACAGUAAGAGCUUGCUCUUACGGGUGGCGAGUGGCGGACGGGUGAGGAAUACAUCGGAAUCUACUUUUUCGUGGGGGAUAACGUAGGGAAACUUACGCUAAUACCGCAUACGACCUACGGGUGAAAGCAGGGGAUCUUCGGACCUUGCGCGAUUGAAAGAGCCGAUGUCGGAUUAGCUAGUUGGCGGGGUAAAGGCCCACCAAGGCGACGAUCCGUAGCUGGUCUGAGAGGAUGAUCAGCCACACUGGAACUGAGACACGGUCCAGACUCCUACGGGAGGCAGCAGUGGGGAAUAUUGGACAAUGGGCGCAAGCCUGAUCCAGCCAUACCGCGUGGGUGAAGAAGGCCUUCGGGUUGUAAAGCCCUUUUGUUGGGAAAGAAAAGCAGCAGGUUAAUACCCCGCUGUUCUGACGGUACCCAAAGAAUAAGCACCGGCUAACGUCGUG
rnacentral:rRNA from 1 species